UUCACAAUGCACGCAAGUGCGAUGGGGGGACUCCGAGUGCAGUCUUCCSCGCAAAACGGAAGGCCGCUUUUCUGCACUUUAAGCAGGUGCCGSCGCAAACAAGGGGUGGGCAAGACGGCUGCCAGCCGCCGCGGUAAUAGCCGCACCCCGAGUGGUAGUCAUUGUUAUUGGGCUUSCGCAAAGUGUUCGUAGCCGGACACACAAGUCUGCUGUGSCGCAAAUCCAUGCGCUUAACGUAUGGACAUGCAGCGGAUACUGUGUGUCUAGGAACCGGACGGCGUCGAGGCUAUUCCCGGGGUAGGGGUGSCGCAAAUCCUSCGCAAAAUCCUGGGAGGAGCACCUGUGGCGSCGCAAAGCGCUCGACGAGUACGGAUUCGACGGUGAGGAACGSCGCAAAGCCAGUGGAGCSCGCAAAGCGGAUUAGAUACCCGCGUAGUACUGGCUGUSCGCAAACAUUGUGCGUUUGAUGUCGGACAACCUCCGAGGUUGUCCGGUGCCGAAGUGSCGCAAAACGUUSCGCAAACGCACCGCCUGGGGAGUACGGUCGCAAGGCUGSCGCAAACUUSCGCAAAGGAAUU
rnacentral:rRNA from 1 species